rnacentral:rRNA from 1 species
UACAGAGGUCUCAAGCGUUGUUCGGAUUCAUUGGGCGUAAAGGGUGCGUAGGUGGCAAGGUAAGUCGGGUGUGAAAUCCCGGGGCUCAACCCUGGAACUGCACUCGAUACUGCCAUGCUCGAGUACUGGAGAGGAGACUGGAAUUUACGGUGUAGCAGUGAAAUGCGUAGAUAUCAAGAGGAACACCUGAGGUGAAGACGGGUUGCUGGGCUGACACUGACGCUGAGGCGCGAAAGCCAGGGGAGCAAACGGG